UGGCUAACUUAUUUUGAGGUAAAAUUUUGGAAAUCCCGCCAUGAAAAUUCAAUAUCCCGCCACCGAUUUUGGGUCCAAAUCGAUCACCAGUACGUACUCCUUACGACCUUCUUCUUCUCCACUACAAUAAUCGACGAAUUUGACCACUCCUUCCUCGCCUCAAACCCUUCUCUCGUGCGUCAACCGGCGACUCCACUUCAUCGUGUCGACCAUCACAUCGGUGUGUCAAACCCUUCUCCUCUCCUAUAUUAACCCUAUCUCAUUCCUCGUCUCACUAGCUAGGUCGCCAAAUCAUUGUCCAUGUAGCAGUAUUCGAUCUUCUAGACGACUCAACAUCUCUAUUGGUGUUGUACUUUGUAUGUUUAUUAAUUGGUAUAUGUUUUUCUUAUUUCCUUUGAUUAUUAUAGCUUUGACUGUGUUGAUUAUCGAUGACAACAAUCCACGCUUCGUUGAGCAACAACUAUGGAUUUGGGUAUCGAUAUAUCCCUCUUUACAUCAAUCUGUAUAACUUUUUAAGAAAAAAAUAUGUUUUUGUGUGUGUUUGUGUUGCAGGUCAAAGAUCUGGUCUUCAAAUUAAAUUUGUUGAUACCUGCUCUUAAAGGGACUUUUUAGCUCUCCGUGUAAAGAUAAGUGAUCUUUCGUGAUGGUUUUGUGACAUUUUAAAGUUAUAUAACCAGGUUCCUGUUAUAUUUAAUGCAGAUGGUAUUAAGAACUUUGUUAUCAUUAGUAGACAAAAAUGCCCCUCCACAUUUCAAUCCUUUUUUCACCCAUAAUAAAGAUUAAUUAGCAUGUAUAAUCAAUAUAAAUGGCAUAUCCAGGAUAAAAGAUGGAAAUCAAUGAUUGUUAGAUCUGAAAUUGCUGGAACUGGUUCACCUGGAGCUUCAUAUUCAUAUCAAUUAUCAGGUUAUAGUCAUCCUAAAUUCUUAAUUUCUAUGAGGAGUUUUAUUUCUUUAUAAUUUUAAUAUUUUAUAUCUACCCAAUUGUUUUAUGUUUUAAGUGCAAAAUUGAAUUUGGGCUAAAAAAUCGAUCAGAGGAAUAUGCUUUUACAGUAUUACUGAAAUUUUGGACAUAUAUACCCUUUGGACUCUAGGGAGAAACUUCAAAUUCUUUAGCAAGAUGUAUUCUGUAUGUAAUAUUUAUAUGAAUGAUGUCUAAAGGUGCAUAUAAGGUUAGCUGUUAAUCAUUAAAGCAUCUUACUUUUAGUUUAAUGAUUGUUUGUUAAAUAUCAUAUGUUUUGACAAAAAAUUGAUUCUUUGUUGUGUUUUUUUUUUCCAGUAAGAAUGGAGGAUGGCUGCUACACUUGAUUAUGUUAUGUGACAGUUCUACUUGGAUGCAAUAACAAUUUAUUUUUUGAAAAAGUUUAUGUAGUAAGAUAUGAUCAAAUCAAGUUGUUUUUUGUGACACACAAACACGUUUAUAUUAAUGAUUAUAAUGGUUGGUUAUUUAGCAUGUAUGCAUUAACAUAAUUUGCUAAUCAAAAUAUACCUUUUUGUAUUGAAUAUGUGUUCUGGAUGUGUAAGUCUCACCUUUGUUGGUGGUUAAUUGUAACAUAAUGUAAUUUUGGAUGUAAAUCC
rnacentral:lncRNA from 1 species